rnacentral:rRNA from 1 species
AAUAGAUACCCUGGUAGUCCACGCCGUAAACUAUGGAUGCUAGCUGUUACCAGUAUCGACCCUGGUAGUAGCGAAGCUAACGCGUUAAGCAUCCCGCCUGUGGAGUACGAGCGCAAGCUUAAAACAUAAAGGAAUUGACGGGGACCCGCACAAGCGGUGGAGCGUGUUGUUUAAUUCGAUGGUAAGCGAAGAACCUUACCCAGGCUUGACAUCCUGCGAAUCUUGCCGAAAGGCGAGAGUGCUUUAUUGAGCGCAGUGACAGGUGUUGCAUGGCCGUCGUCAGCUCGUGUCGUGAGAUGUUUGGUUAAGUCCAUCAACGAGCGCAACCCUUAUAGUCAGUUGAACUUCUCUGGCUAGACUGCCCUGGUAACAGGGAGGAAGGAGGGGAUGAUGUCAGGUCAGUAUUACCCUUACGUCUGGGGCUACAAACACGCUACAAUGGCCGGUACAAAGGGCAGCCAACCCGCGAGGGGGAGCAAAUCCCAUCAAAGCCGGUCUCAGUUCGGAUAGCAGGCUGAAACUCG